rnacentral:lncRNA from 1 species
UGAUGGUGGCGGUGGAUAUGACCGUGACAUGGGUGGAAGGCCUGGCUAUGGUGAUGAACGUCCUAAUAAUCGGUACAUGGGUCGUGGUGGUGGAUAUCAAGGUAGUCAUCUGUUGAAACCUAGAGCAAACCUCCUCUCAAUUUUUUGCAUUCCAAUUCUAAAACUUGUAGAAAAUACUAUUGUUGACUAAAAUAACUGUGUUUAGAUAUGCGCAUACUGUGCUGUUAGGUCUCAAUAUGUUUACAUUAAUGGAUUUCAAUUAUAUCCACAUGAUGAUCUAGAAUCAGUCGUCUCACCGUUAUAUCAUUUCAAUGUGGAAUCUGAUAUACAUAUCUACUUAGAUUAUUAUACAUGCCAAUCUAAUGCAAUCAGAAUUGGUGUUUAAUGACAAUGUUUCAGGAUGUAUUUUGUGUCAUUGAUGGGGCAGCACUUCCUUAUUUUUAAAUACUUGACAGCAGACUUCAGACUAAUGCUUCUUUGAUGAUUGAUGCAUUUCUACCAUGUUUAACUAUCUGGCA